CAGCAGCCGCGGGAAUACGUAGGGUGCGAGCGUUAAUCGGAAUUACUGGGCGUAAAGCGUGCGCAGGCGGUUGUGUAAGACAGGUGUGAAAUCCCCGGGCUUAGCCUGGGAACUGCGCUUGUGACUGCACAGCUAGAGUAUGGCAGAGGGGGGUGGAAUUCCACGUGUAGCAGUGAAAUGCGUAGAGAUGUGGAGGAACACCGAUGGCGAAGGCAGCCCCCUGGGCCAAUACUGACGCUCAUGCACGAAAGCGUGGGGAGCAAACAGGAUUAGAUACCCCGGUAGUCCCUGUCUCUUAUAA
rnacentral:rRNA from 1 species